UGGCAGUGCCAUCUACAUCUACUGCUGUGGCUGGUGUGGCAGUGCCGUCUACAUCUGGUGGGAUGUGCAUGGAACUUGCACACCUUGCUCAAUGGAUGCCUAUCUGCAAGGGUGCCAGUUAUGAACGAAAUCGGUCGAUGACACACUCGACUACAGGUGGCCGAACUUUGAUCUUAUUUUACUCAGGGUGUGAUGCUGAAACUUGGACCAGUUGCAGCUCUUUCUAUAACCAUUUAAUAAAUAAAUU